rnacentral:rRNA from 1 species
GACAGAGGGUGCAAACGUUGUUCGGAAUUACUGGGCGUAAAGCGCGUGUAGGCGGUCUAGCAAGUCGGAUGUGAAAGCCCUUGGCUCAACUGAGGAAGUGCAUUCGAAACUGCGAGACUUGAGUCCCGGAGAGGAUGGUGGAAUUCUCGGUGUAGAGGUGAAAUUCGUAGAUAUCGAGAGGAACACCGGUGGCGAAGGCGGCCAUCUGGACGGUGACUGACGCUGAGACGCGAAAGCAUGGGGAG